rnacentral:rRNA from 1 species
UACGGAGGGGGCUAGCGUUGUUCGGAAUUACUGGGCGUAAAGAGCUCGUAGGUGGUUUGUCGCGUUGUCCGUGAAAACUCACAGCUUAACUGUGGGCGUGCGGGCGAUACGGGCAGACUGGAGUACUGCAGGGGAGACUGGAAUUCCUGGUGUAGCGGUGGAAUGCGCAGAUAUCAGGAGGAACACCGGUGGCGAAGGCGGGUCUCUGGGCAGUAACUGACGCUGAGGAGCGAAAGCGUGGGGAGCGAACAGG